GGGGCGCCGGCAGAUGCGCGGGCAGGAGGAUCCCGUGGGCGUGGCUGGCCGCGGACGGGAGCAAUCGCUGGGGGAGGCCUUCUUCCUGUUCUAAAGGCCCUUCUGGCUCACUUUCUGCCUCGGUUUCAUCAUCCCAAUCAAGCUCUACAAGGCUAGAGCAGGAGUAGAGAUGGCACUGAUUGACGCAAUUCCUAACAGCAUUCGCAUCCCUGUGUGGAAAUUAUUUGGAGGGGCAUCAGAUACUGUGACUACAGACAUAACGAUUCCAAUCGUGGCCCCCAAAUGAAGCUGCACAAUUGGCCGAAAAAUAAUGAGUGCAAGGGUUUCAAACGCUGAAGCUCAAGUUUGGGAAAAACUUGAACUCGGAUAUACAAGUUUGGAAAAACAAAAUGGGUGUGACCCCUGUGCUCUUUGAGCAAACAGUUCACAAAGAUUAUAGGGAUGGUCUCCGUGAUAUUAGUAUUGUUGCCAUGGAGAAAUACAAUGUCACUAGCGCUGCUUAUAAAAGUUAUUAGCAUUUACAUGAUGCUCAGAAAAUAAUACGUGGGAAUCUCGCUCAUGAUAUUAACAUCAAGCUCACCAAAUUAGGGGUUAUUGGAGCCCUUGAAAUAAUUUAUGUUGCGUGAAAAGCCAAUAUUGCUUUGAUGAUUGGUGGUAUGGUUGAGACUAGAAUCGCCAUGGACUUUGUUGUUCCAGAUGCGUUUGUUGUGGAAGUAUGCAAACCUUUUUCUUACAUUGUCAUUAGGAUGCUCCAGCCCACAAAUUGAAAGAAAUACCACUUUGUUGGACACUUAUAUAUGUUUUCGGCUGCUAUAUUAUUCUUGAGAUUUAUGGAUGCAUUUUUAUUGGUCUGGUCACACCCCUUUUA